ensembl:snRNA U6 U6 spliceosomal RNA
GUGCUCCUUUUGGCAGCACAUACACUAAAAUUGGAAUGAUCCAGAGAAGAUUAGCAUGGCCCUUGCCCAAGGAUGACACGCAAAUCUGUGAAAUAGUCCAUAUUUUU